rnacentral:rRNA from 1 species
AUGACACCCACCUUAUAUCUAUUGUGGGCCAAGGGUACGAGAAUUUUUAUGAAAGCGUUUCAUUUGCUUCUCUUCAAUGAAAGUUUCAUUUUCCCAGAAUGUAUCCUAAUUUUUGGCCUAAUUCUUCUUCUGAUGAUCGAUUCAACCUCUGAUCAAAAAGAUAGACCUUGGUUCUAUUUCAUUUUUCUCCCGUCCAAGCUUUGA